rnacentral:rRNA from 1 species
UACGUACGUCCCGAGCGUUGUCCGGAUUUAUUGGGCGUAAAGCGAGCACAGGUGGUUUAUUAAGUCUGGUGUAAAAGGCAGUGGCUCAACCAUUGUAUGCAUUGGAGGCUGGUAGACUUGAGUGCAGGAGAGGAGAGUGGAAUUCCAUGUGUAGCGGUGAAAUGCGUAGAUAUAUGGAGGAACACCGGUGGCGAAAGCGGCUCUCUGGCCUGUAACUGACACUGAGGCUCGAAAGCGUGGGGAGCAAACAGG